GACGAACGCUGGCGGCGUGCCUAAUACAUGCAAGUAGAACGCUGAAGGAGGAGCUUGCUUCUCUGGAUGAGUUGCGAACGGGUGAGUAACGCGUAGGUAACCUGCCUGGUAGCGGGGGAUAACUAUUGGAAACGAUAGCUAAUACCGCAUAAUAGUAGAUGUUGCAUGACAUUUACUUAAAAGGUGCAAUUGCAUCACUACCAGAUGGACCUGCGUUGUAUUAGCUAGUUGGUGGGGUAACGGCUCACCAAGGCGACGAUACAUAGCCGACCUGAGAGGGUGAUCGGCCACACUGGGACUGAGACACGGCCCAGACUCCUACGGGAGGCAGCAGUAGGGAAUCUUCGGCAAUGGACGGAAGUCUGACCGAGCAACGCCGCGUGAGUGAGGAAGGUUUUCGGAUCGUAAAGCUCUGUUGUAAGAGAAGAACGAGUGUGAGAGUGGAAAGUUCACACUGUGACGGU
rnacentral:rRNA from 1 species